rfam:Schistosoma curassoni strain Dakar, Senegal genome assembly, scaffold: SCTD_scaffold0000428
AUUCGACUGACGAGUCCCAAAUAAGAUGAAACGUGUGUCCUAGAU